AUCGAACGCUGGCGGCAGGCCUAACACAUGCAAGUCGAACGAGUGGCGGACGGGUGAGUAAUGCCUGGGAAACUGCCUGAUGGAGGGGGAUAACUACUGGAAACGGUCGCUAAUACCGCAUACCAUCGGAUGUGCCCAGAUGGGAUUAGCUAGUGGGUGGGGUAAAGGCUCACCUAGGCGACGAUCCCUAGCUGGUCUGAGAGGAUGACCAGCCACACUGGAACUGAGACACGGUCCAGACUCCUACGGGAGGCAGCAGUGGGGAAUAUUGCGCAAUGGGCGCAAGCCUGAUGCAGCCAUGCCGCGUGUAUGAAGAAGGCCUUCGGGUUGUAAAGUACUUUCAGCGGUGAGGCGUUACCCGCAGAAGAAGCACCGGCUAACUCCGUGCCAGCAGCCGCGGUAAUUC
rnacentral:rRNA from 1 species